AGAGUUUGAUCAUGGCUCAGGAUGAACGCUAGCGGCAGGCUUAACACAUGCAAGUCGAGGGGUAUAGGUUUUCGGACCUAGAGACCGGCGCACGGGUGCGUAACGCGUAUGCAAUCUGCCUUUUACUGAGGGAUAGCCCAGAGAAAUUUGGAUUAAUACCUCAUAGCAUUAUCGAAUGGCAUCAUUUGAUAAUUAAAGUUCCAACGGUAAAAGAUGAGCAUGCGUCCCAUUAGCUAGAUGGUAAGGUAACGGCUUACCAUGGCAACGAUGGGUAGGGGUCCUGAGAGGGAGAUCCCCCACACUGGUACUGAGACACGGACCAGACUCCUACGGGAGGCAGCAGUGAGGAAUAUUGGUCAAUGGGCGCAAGCCUGAACCAGCCAUGCCGCGUGCAGGAUGACGGUCCUAUGGAUUGUAAACUGCUUUUGUACGGGAAGAAACACUCCUACGUGUAGGAGCUUGACGGUACCGUAAGAAUAGGGAUCGGCUAACUCCGUGCCAGCAGCCGCGGUAAUACGGAGGAUCCAAGCGUUAUCCGGAAUCAUUGGGUUUAAAGGGUCCGUAGGCGGUUUUGUAAGUCAGUGGUGAAAGCCCAUCGCUCAACGGUGGAACGGCCAUUGAUACUGCAGAACUUGAAUUACUGGGAAGCAACUAGAAUAUGUAGUGUAGCGGUGAAAUGCUUAGAGAUUACAUGGAAUACCAAUUGCGAAGGCAGGUUGCUACCAGUGGAUUGACGCUGAUGGACGAAAGCGUGGGGAGCGAACAGGAUUAGAUACCCUGGUAGUCCACGCCGUAAACGAUGGAUACUAGCUGUUCGGAGCAAUCUGAGUGGCUAAGCGAAAGUGAUAAGUAUCCCACCU
rnacentral:rRNA from 1 species